GGCGGCGGGGCGGGGCGCUGACCUCAGCCCGCGAGGAAGCCGGUCGGGGGCCGGCCGCGCUGAUGGAAGGGCUGAUGAAUCCGCAGCUGGUGGCGAGAUUGGGCGGGUGUGUGUCUGUGUCGGUACACUUCCCCUUUAAACGCAGCCGGCAGAGGCGCAAUUGCCAGGGGCACGCACGAGGUGGCUGGGAUCGGGAUCAAAGCGUCCCCUGACAGCGGUACGGGUCCGAGUCCUGGCGCCCGGCCCCACGCCGGGACAGAGGAGUCGAGAGAUCCCGCCGACUGGGGGAGGGGUGGCAGGGGCCCACCUCCAGGGCCACCGCCAUCCGAGCCCACGCCCUGCUCCGGCGGGGUCCCGGUCAGAUGCAGUCCCAGACCAGGGGGUCCUAGGGAGGCUCUGUGCCGGCCCUGCCCACCGAGAGGGUUACCUUGGAAGCCGCCUCCUACAAGAGGAUGGCUUAACUUGCUGUCGGAACCUGCAGGAAUCCCAGGCUGCGGUCCAAGAAUAUUAACAGGGGGCCCAGCCUGGCUGAAGCUCUAGAUUAUCAGGCCUGGGGGCCCCAGAAAGCUUCUCAGGACCAGAGGUUUGUCCAGAGUCUCCAAUUGUAGGCGAGGGACUGAGGAGGCAGAGGGAAGGGGCUGCAAGGCCCUGGGUGAGGGCAGGACCUGAGAACAUCCCCUUCAGCUGUAACAGACCACCUGGAGCUUUCUUCUUCACACCUCCUCUCUGAUGAUGAUAAUGCUGCAGUGACGAAAGGCCAGGCGGAGAACCACGGUCGACAGCAUUCUCCUGCAGUCCUUGUCUGUUUCCCAUUGAACCCUCCGGAAACCUGCAGGGAGGGCCCCUGAGACCAGGGAGCGGAACCCUGAGCAGGCUGACUCAUUUGCUUAAAUCCUGCCUCUGAGGCCUAGAAAACCUGUGAUCCUUGUUCAGGCCCCCUUUCUCUUCCCGGAGAAAAGAUCGGACCCCUGCCAUCACCUUGCCGCUGGAUCCUGGUCAGUCAUCUCCGGAUUUGCUGUGUUGCUCAUGGUGGGAAGCUAGAUUGGGCUGAUCACCAUCAUGCAUCAUCCCAUGGAAAGCUCAUGUACAGCGCACAAUGGAGGAAUGGUACUGGGUGUCAAGUUUACAGACAGAGCUCAGAAUGUGUGGAGCAGCUUGUGCGUGAAGCAACGUGUCUACCCCGGGGCACGCGCAGGAAGUCCUCCAGGCACCUCUGGCCAUUGCUCCAUCUUUCUCUUGGGGCCUGCAGCCUCUACUGCGAAUCUGGCCCUUAUCGAUUCUUCCUCUCCAGAUGUCUCUCAUACCAAUGACGGAGUCCAGCCUGAUGGUACCAGGGUCUUGUAUCUUCUGCUGUGGUUGAGGCCCCUCCCUUCCCCCACUCAGGACAGACCAGCUCAGUCCUUAUCCUGGUGUGGGCACAAGGUCUCUUGUUGCAGCAGGGCCCCUUGGCUGACCUUCGCAGCUCCUCUAAGGCUGGAGAGGCCUGGCAGGAUGCCUGCGGGAGGGCUGGGCUGCUCUCCGAGGCUCCUCCCCUCCACUCCAGGGCUCUGGCCAGAGCCUGGUCAGGGUCCUUGCUGGAGUUCCCAGGCAACCCCUGGAGUGAUGGUCUGAGAAGUCCAGUGGGGAAGCCCCAGUGUGGAGGACAGAUUCCACAGCCACGGGCUGUCCCCACCCUCUCAUCGGGCAAUGUGGGUUGGUCUCUGAAUAGCUUCUGGGUGGCCUUCCCUCCAGAGCCUCUUGCCUACUUUCACCAGGUGCCAAGGGACAGUGAAAAGAGCAGUGAGUGGCCAGAGGACCACGCUCCAAAGCCAGCCAGCCUGUCUCCCUCCCAAACUGGAUCCUUUCCCUCCAGCCUCCUCUUCAUAGACUUCUAUAACAGAAAGAGGUAUAGACGUCAUCUCAUCCCUUCCCUGGCUUCCAGAGGAAUAGUUGAGAGCGAUACUGAGGUUCUCUGAGGCUUCACACAAACCUCUGCACAUUGGGUUGGCCAGAGGUCUCAGUAGUGUUUCCUUGGCAAUUCUACGCCCAUUGGGAAUACCAGCCCUGAAUAUCUGAGGCUCCCAGCCACUGGGAGGUGGGAAGAUCCUAAGGCCUCAGUGGAUGGAAUGGUAGCUGCAGGACUGCCCUCCAGGGCUGACUAGUCUCUGAUGAGAGCCAGGUGUGGAUCCAGAAGCCAUUUGGGUCCCCUGGGGAGCCUUCACAGUAGCUGCUAAGUGGAGAUCCUGGUUGGGGGGGCUCUCACAUGCACAUACGGGUAAUGGUGGAAAGGGCAGGUGGUCAGUCUGCUCCUGGGACUUCUUCCCUGGUGGUCCGGUGGUUAAGAAUCCAUCUUGGAAUGCGGGGGACACCACUUCCAUCCCUGGUCAGAGAACUAAGAUCCCACAUGCUGCGGGGCAACACAGUCUGUGAACCACCGUAAGACUCAGUGCAACCAAAUAACAAGUCUGCUCCUUCCAUCGAUCAUCUGUAUGACUUGUGUGUUCGUGCUAAGUCGUUUUAGUAGUGUCCGACUCUUGGUAACCUGAUGGACUGCAACACACCAGGCUCCUCUGUCCACGGGAUUCUCCAGGCAAGAAUACUGGAGUGCGUUGCCAUGCCCUCCUUCAGGGGAUCUUCCUGACCCAGGAAUCGAACCUGGGUCUCUUAUGUCUCCUGCAUUGGCAGGCAGGUUCUUUACCACUGAACCACCUGGGAAGCCCCUGUGUGACUUGAGGCAAGCCUAAAUCCCCUGACACCUUAGUUUGCUUAUCCGGAAAAUGCAAUAUAUUUCAUCUGGGCUGCCUCAGGUAGGAGUAAGAUAACACAUUAAGAUGUCUUGAAAGAAACAAAAUGCAACGUAUUCAAAAUAAAACGUGCCUCUUUGCUUCCCAAAAUAAAAGUUGUAAAUGAUUGAAAUCAUAUUUUACUGACUCCAGAAACCCCUUUGUGUAAAGAAGUUUCUUCUUUUGUACAGUCAAGCAUUUGGGGUCAAGCAUUUGGUGGGCUUACACUAGGCACCAUGACCCCCUCUUAUUAGAUUUUGUGAAGAUCCAGUUCCUGGUACAGAAUAGGCAAUCAAUAAAUUAUUGCUGAAGGAAUGAAUAAGAGUGAGUUCUUCCUUCAAAGAGUUCACGGUCUGGUUUGGAAGAAACUGGCAGCCAUGAAAGAGAGGCAGAAUUCGAGGAGGGGGAAGGGCUGUCUGGGCUGGUGGGAUGACCCCCGCUUGAACCAAGCUCACAGGUGGGAAGCCUAUGGUGGGCAGGGGAGGAGACCACCUUGAUGGGAGGCAGUUAAGUCUCCCUGGGUGGGGUGGAGUGGGUGGAGGAAUUGAAAACAAUGAGUUUUCCUCGAGAAUGAGACCGUGAAUAUACUGGAACCGGCUUAGAGGAAAGCACCCCGGGAAGCAGUGUGCAUCCUAUGGGGAAGGACUGUGUGUGUCACGUGAUGACGAAAGCAGCGUUUCUAGAAGAUGAGCCUGGCCUGGAUGUGCCUGAUGGGGACACACCAAACUUCUUGAAGUUCCCCAAAGUCUUCCUUUCCCUUUUUUGGCCAUUUCCCUGUUUUGAUCACUAGGAUGCCAGGCUGUCCCACGCCUGCUGAGAGAACACCUGCUCCUUCUCAUCACCGCCGGAGUCAUCUCUUCUGGGAAGCACUGUGGGUCAUUUCCUCCUGGAGGCCCUCAGCUGUACCCUGUACGCCAUUGCAUUUUUAUACCUAUUCCUUUUUAGGAUACUUCUUGGUUUUCACGUCUGGUUCCCCUUUCAGACUAUAUGUAUGCUUCUUGAAGUCUGAAGGCUCCCUGUUGGCAGUGGUCUCUCCAGCAUUGGUCCCGGUGCCCAGGACAGGGUUCCCACCUUCGUUGACAUCACCUGGAGGCACCGGGCAGGAGGCUGAAUAUAAAUCAUGCCUGGGCCUGGGCGUCUGAAGCCUCAUCUCUCACCUGCUGGAGCCUGGUCUGACUUCGUCUCAUCUCAACAAGAAGACUUGUCCUGCUGGAGACUCUGCUGCCAGCCCUGGAGCUCACCUAGCCUCUUGCACCAUGCGGACUGAGCAGGGAGAAGCAGGGAAGGUGGGGUUCCUCCAGGGAGCCCCCCAGCAGCUCACCUCCACCACCCAAGCGGGGCCCGGGGAUCCUGGGAUUCCCUGGGACGUAACUGGCCACCGGCCACUGUGUUUCCCCACGGGCUGGGCUGCUGGAUCACGAGGAGGCCUCCAGCUCCUGGUUGGGGUGGCGCUGGCUGCCUGCCACACCACAAAAGGCUGAGAUUCCCCUGAAGCUGAGAGCUGCAUUUAUCUCUCACCGGGACAGAGAAACAAACCGGCAUGCUUUGCCCAGGAGGCAUUUCCAGAAAUUUGGGUUCUGGCUUCUUGUUGAUGAAAUGCCAGAUUAUCCUGGCCCUCUUUGUGGUGAGAGAGAGCCAUUGAGCAAUAGGUGUUUUGUUUUGCAGAUGACAAGAUCUUCAACACUGAAAAGUUUAAAUGAUAGAUGCAAGAAUCUUGACCACAUCCCCACCCCUGUCAGCAAGGUUGAUGGUUUGAACUCAGUGGCUUGGACAAUUUGUCCCUCACCACCCGCAAUUCCAACCGACUCGGACCCUAGGUGCCAGAAGACCUCUUCUCUUAGGGCCCUACAGGCCCUGUGGGGCCUCUGCCAGGUCCAUGGCUGCAAUACAGGGAAACGCUGUUUUCUGAAGCAGACAUUGGGAUACUACAGUGCAGAGCUGGCAGUAUGCUUUUGUAAAUAAAGUUUUAUUGAAAAUACAA